CCCGGUGAAGUUUUAACGGCCGCAGUUGGGAGCUGUGCUAAGGUAGCGUAAUAAGUUGUCCUUUAAAUGGGGAAAGGAAUGAAUGGUUUGACGUGGGGGUAACUGUCUUCGGUGAAACAGGAGAAAUUUUCUUUUUAGUGAAAAGCCUAAAAUUUAAAUAAAAGACGAGAAGACCCUGUCGAGCUUGAAUUAUUAGAGAAGUUUUACUUUAUGAAAGUUUGGUUGGGGCAACCUGGGAGCAAAAUAAGACUCCUUUAUGUAAUAUAGAUCCAAUAAUAUUGAAUAAAGAAAAAGCUACCGUAGGGAUAACAGCGUUAUCUUUUCUGAGAGAACAAAUUGAAGAAAGG
rnacentral:rRNA from 1 species